rnacentral:rRNA from 1 species
GGCCCCGGGACGUAGCCCAGGGAAACCGUGGAGUUAAUACCGGAUGAGACGGGACCCGCGAUGGCGGGACCCGGGAAAGGCGCUGCGGCGCCGCCGGGGGAUGAGUCUGCGUCCCAUUAGCUAGACGGCGGGGUAACGGCCCACCGUGGCGACGAUGGGUAGCCGGCCUGAGAGGGUGGACGGCCACAUUGGAACUGAGACACGGUCCAGACUCCUACGGGAGGCAGCAGCUAAGAAUCUUCCGCAAUGGGCGAAAGCCUGACGGAGCGACGCCCGCGUGAACGAAGAAGGCCGUGAGGUUGUAAAGUUCUUUUCGGGAGGGGGAACAACCGUGGCAGGGAAUGGCCGCGGGAUGACGUGAAUCCCGGAAUAAGCCCCGGCUAACUACGUGCCAGCAGCGGC